UUACUGUAACUGUAACCACCCAGACUACUGCUGGAUGUAUAGUUCCUGAACCACCCAGACUACUGCUGGAUAUAUAGACUAUAGUUACUGUAACCACCCAGACUACUGCUGGAUGUAUAGUUACUGGAACCACCCAGACUACUGCUGGAUAUAUAGACUAUAGUUACUGUAACCACCCAGACUACUGCUGGAUUUACUGUAACUGUAACCACCCAGACUACUGCUGGAUGUAUAGUUACUGUAACCACCCAGACUACUGCUGGAU
ensembl:lncRNA